rnacentral:rRNA from 1 species
GAUGAACGCUGGCAGCGUGCCUAAUACAUGCAAGUCGAGCGAACAGAUAAGGAGCUUGCUCCUUUGACGUUAGCGGCGGACGGGUGAGUAACACGUGGGUAACCUACCUAUAAGACUGGAAUAACUCCGGGAAACCGGGGCUAAUGCCGGAUAACAUUUAGAACCGCAUGGUUCUAAAGUGAAAGAUGGUUUUGCUAUCACUUAUAGAUGGACCCGCGCCGUAUUAGCUAGUUGGUAAGGUAACGGCUUACCAAGGCAACGAUACGUAGCCGACCUGAGAGGGUGAUCGGCCACACUGGAACUGAGACACGGUCCAGACUCCUACGGGAGGCAGCAGUAGGGAAUCUUCCGCAAUGGGCGAAAGCCUGACGGAGCAACGCCGCGUGAGUGAUGAAGGUCUUCGGAUCGUAAAACUCUGUUAUUAGGGAAGAACAAAUGUGUAAGUAACUGUGCACGUCUUGACGGUACCUAAUCAGAAAGCCACGGCUAACUACGUG